UACGUAGGGGGCAAGCGUUGUCCGGAUUUAUUGGGCGUAAAGAGCGUGUAGGCGGCUAUACAGGUCCGUUGUGAAAACUCGAGGCUCAACCUCGAGAUGUCGGCGGAAACCGUCUGGCUAGAGUCCGGAAGAGGAGAGUGGAAUUCCUGGUGUAGCGGUGAAAUGCGCAGAUAUCGGGAAGAACACCUAUGGCGAAGGCAGCUCUCUGGGACGGUACUGACGCUGAGACGCGGAAGCGUGGGGAGCGAACAGG
rnacentral:rRNA from 1 species